rnacentral:rRNA from 1 species
AAAAGCUCGUAGUUGGAUCUCAGUUCCAGACGGGCGGUCCGCCUACCGGUGGUCACUGCCCGGACUGAACAAUGAUUGGCCGGUUUCCUUUGAUGAUCUUCACCGGUUGUCUUGGGUGACCGGCAAGUUUACUUUGAAAAAAUUAGAGUGCUCAAAGCAAGCGCGACGCUUGAAUAAUGGUGCAUGGAAUAAUGGAAUAGGACCUCGGUUCUAUUUUGUUGGUUUUCUGAACACGAGGUAAUGAUUAAGAGGGACAGACGGGGGCAUUCGUAUUGCGACGCUAGAGGUGAAAUUCUUGGACCGUCGCAAGACGAACUACUGCGAAAGCAUUUGCCAAGAAUGUUUCCAUUAAUCAAGAACGAAAGUUAGAGGUUCGAAGGCGAUCAGAUACCGCCCUAGUUCUAACCAUAAACGAUGCCAGCCAGCGAUCCGGCUGCGUUCCUCAAAUGACGCGCCGGGCAGCUUCCGGGAAACCAAAGCUUUUGGGCUCCGGGGGAAGUAUGGUUGCAAAGCUGAAACUUAAAGGAAUUGACGGAAGGGCACCACCAGGAAUGGAGCUUGCGGCUUAACUUGACUCAACACGGGGAAACUCACCCGGCCCGGACACAGGAAGGAUUGACAGAUUAAGAGCUCUUUCUUGAUUCUGUGAGUGGUGGUGCAUGGCCGUUCUUAGUUGGUGGAGCGAUUUGUCUGGUUUAUUCCGAUAACGAACGAGACUCUAGCCUACUAAAUAGACGUUUCCGAUCCUCUGCGUCGGACGUUCUUCUUAGAGGGACAAGCGGCGUUUAGCCGCACGAGACAGAGCGAUAACAGGUCAGUGAUGCCCUUCGAUGUCCGGGGCCGCACGCGUGCUACAUUGAAGGAAUCAGCGUGUGCUCUCCCUGUCCGACAGGACUGGGUAACCCGAUGAAACUCCUUCGUGCUGGGGAUAGGAGAUUGUAAUUGUUCUCCUUGAACGAGGAAUUCCCAGUAAACGCCAGUCAUCAGCUGGCAUUGAUUACGUCCCUGCCCUUUGUCCACACCGCCCGUCGCUACUAUCGAUUGAAUGAGCGAGUGAGGCCUUCGGACUGGCGCUCGGAUUGGCCUCCGGGUCGAGCCGACGUGCCGGAAAGAUGGCCAAACUUGAUCAUUUAGAGAAAGUAAAAGUCGUAACAAGGUUUC